AUGAGCUCGUCGACGACGUCCGGGCAGGGGCAGGGCGAGGGCGACGAGGCGCCGGACCUGGUGUGCGUGGUGGACUGCGUCCAUGGCAUGGUCGACGCCCUCUCCUGCGUCCGCUGGAACAAGCAUCAGGGCGCGGUGGUGGAGCUGUCGGAGCACGGCAUCGUGGUCACCGUGGAGGAGAGCGGCUGCCUCCAGGCCAAGGUCUACCUCAAGACCGAGCUGUUCGCGGAGUAUGACUACGGGGCGGAGGGCCGUCCACGGUUCGGCCUCAGCCUGGGGCUCCUCGUCGACUGCCUCAACAUGUUUACCGUCCCCGGGUUCGCCUCCCCCGUCGAGAUCCGGUACCCUGGCCCCGACAUGCAGCUUCUCCUCAGGUCAGUGGGGUCUCCAGAUGCAUGUAUACAUGCAGAAAUCAGAACCAGAAUUCCUGAUACUGUCGCCUGGGAUUACCAUUUUGAGCACGCAGGGAACACUCCAGUCACUUUUACUGUUAAGUCUGCCAUCCUGAAAGAAUCAAUUGAUGACCUUGAGUGGCCUGGCUCCAGCAUUCAGAUUCAUUUUCAUCCGGACCCCCCUUCAGUAAUAUUUAAAGGCGAAGGGCAUGGUGACUUGGAGAUUGAAUUCUCCUACUAUGCAAAUACCGAUCUUCUAAUUGCAUUCCAGUGUGACCAAGAACUGUCCUACAGGUAUAAGUACAAGUUUCUUCGUGCCACUACCUCGAAUGUUCCAAGUAGCGUCUUGAAGGAGAAUCGUGGGAGUAAAGUGACGAUUGGGAGGGGAGGGAUGCUCAAAAUCCAGCACCUGGUUUCAGUUGCGAGGCUAGGUACGCAAUCCUACCAUAAUUUUGCUGGAGGGGCUCAACAUCCAAGUCGGAUUGCUUUUAUCGAAUUCUUUGUGAAGCCGGAGGAGGAGGAUUAA
rnacentral:rRNA from 1 species